ACUAACAGCUCUUUGAUGAAAUCAUACAUACAUACACAUACAUAUAUACAUACAUACAUAUAUACACAUACAUAUAUACAUACAUACAUACAUACAUACAUGCAUACACAUACAUAUAUACAUAUGUACACAUACAUAUAUACAUACAUACAUACAUACAUAUAUACACAUACAUACAUACAUACAUAUAUACAUACAUACACACAUACAUACAUACACACAUACAUACACAUACAUAUAUACAUACAUACAUACACAUACAUAUAUACAUACAUACAUAUAUACACAUACAUAUAUACAUACAUACAUACAUACAUACAUGCAUACACAUACAUAUGUAGAUAUGUACACAUACAUAUAUACAUACAUACAUACAUAUAUACACAUACAUACAUACAUACAUAUAUACAUACAUACACACAUACAUACAUACACACAUACAUACACAUACAUAUAUACAUACAUACAUACAUACAUACAUAUUUACAUACAUACAUACACACACAUACAUAUAUACAUACAUACACACACACACAUACAUAUAUACAUACAUACACACAUACAUACAUACAUACAAACAUACACAUACAUACAUACAUACAUACACAUACAUAUAUACAUACAUACAUAGAGAGAGAGAGAGAGAGAGCUAGGCUGGAAUACUAUUGAUAGCAAAAGGCUCUUUUUGCUAUCAGUUUUUAACUCUUAGAUGAGAAAUUGUAGGGUUAGGAUGAUAUUAGUCUCUUAGGGUUGAGUGGUUCCCACUGAGUUAUAAUAUUUAAUCCAAUGGUUAGAAAUGAUGAAAAGAAUUGAUCUAAAGGUUGAAAACUUGAUAGUAAAAAAAUUUUUUGCUAUCAAUAGUAUUCUAGCUAAACUCUCUCUCUCUCUCUCUCUCUCUCUCUCUCUCUCUCUCUCUAUAUAUAUAUAUAUAUGGUGAAGUUUAGAAUACUAUUGUUAGUAUGAAAAUAGUAUGAGAAUAAUGUUUACUAUUAACUUUUUGACCAUUAGUUGCGUAGGAUUUAGUAGGGGUUUGAGUAAUAAUCAAAUGGUAGAAAAAUUGAUAGUAAUACUAUUCAUAUACUAUCAAUAGUAUACUAGGUGAACUUUGUAUAUAUAUAGAGUUCACCUAGCAUAUUAUUAAUAAUAUAUGAAAAUAGUAUCU
rnacentral:lncRNA from 1 species